CCUCACGUCAGCCCAGAUUCCCAUAAGGUGGGUCUGAUUCCAGUGAGCAAACACAAGAGGGAUGACAGAAGCAGGUGUCACCCUCUGACAACCAGAGGGCAGCAACUGCUUCAGGGUGGGGCCGUCCAGGGUCUAUAGGCCCGCGGGGGAAGGCAGCGGGGGCGUGUUCACAGGUGCCUCCAGGCUCAGAGGAGCCUGCCCUCAGACGCUCCUUGAGUACACAGCCCCAGAGGGAGCUUCCAAGUGGACAGACAGCACAGACACGUGUUCCGGGCCAGCGUGAAGACAUCUGUUGGCUAGAGGUCUGAUUUUCUGUUUUUUUUUUUUUUUUUUUUUUUUCUGAGACGGAGUGUCGCUCGUUUCCCCAGUUGGAGCGCAAUGGCGCAACCUCAGCUCACUGCAACCUCCACCUCCUGGGUUCAAGCGAUUCUCCUGCCUCAG
ensembl:lncRNA novel transcript, antisense to EPN1